UCAUUUGAAGCAAAAUAAAUUCCAUUAUACUUUAUUUUGACCAUAUGAUCAACACUUGUACAUAGUGCCAUUUACUUUGUGUUCUUCACUCUCGCGCUGUGUUUUGAUCGUUCGAAACUCAUUGCCAGAACGAAUGCAAAUUUCAUAUGGGAAUGAUCGGUGCCGGAAGAGGCAGCGAAAAUUAUGAAAUGAUAAUAGAAAAGUGGUUAAGUUAAUCGUGAAAGAUGUCAACGCAGACGUAAAUGUAGUAUGUUUUGUUACAUGAUCUACGGCUAUUUCAUUACCAAAGCUCCUGAUAACAGAUCAAAGCAGAUGGAUCGGGCAUACAGAGUCGCCGUUUAAUUUAAAAUAUCUGCGUGAUCGGUAAGUUUUAAAUAGUACUAGUUUUGUUCACCAUUCUAAUGCUCGAUUUAUCUUUCAUUCCUCAAGCAAACGCAUCAAACAGCAAGUGUUUUUCCUUCCAACAGCACGCACCAUCGGUGGUGCAGCAGCUAACGUUUUGUUCGCCUAGCGCGCACCAUCAAGAAUUGAUAUUUUGCCAAACAGUACUGUGAAUAAAAAACUGCACACUUACUGUAGGAA